rnacentral:lncRNA from 1 species
GGAAGGAGAGGAUCAGGAAAAAUAACUAGUGGGUACUUGGUUUCGUUCCUGGGCAAUGAAAUAAUCUGUAUAACAAACCCCCGUGACACAAGUUUACCUGUGUAACAAACCUGCACAUGCUCCCCCGAACCUAAGAUAAAAGUUAAAAAAAGAAAGCUUCAGUGAAAGCGGUGACAGCAAGGCUCAUGGGUGGGAAAUACGUUUAUUUAAAGGGUCUCAGGUCCUGCCGGACCUUAACUGAGAGAGAAACCUCGAGAGUGGUCACCUCCCAGGGAGGAAGGUUUGGAGCCUUUUGGGGUUGGGGGCAGAUCUCCACUGCCUCCCGGACCUGCAGCUUCUCUAGAGAAGGAGGACAGGGGAUAUCAUGGACAGGGAGGGCCCUGUCCCAGCAAGGCCUGGCAAGGGGCUUGUCGGAGGAGAUUGCAGGGCUCUGGGAACUGGGAAGGUGCUGAGCACCAGAAGAGAGGAGGAGAGCUCUCAUGAAGAAUGACUGGAAAGGGAGUCAGGACAGGCCAAGACCCCGAAGUCAUCACCUGCCCCCACAGCCGGAACUGCAGCCCCCGCAGCUGGAGCCACAGCAGCCCAUGGUUCUGGUGGGUUACAGUGGAGCAGGUAGAGCAGCAGGUGAGAGGGAGGAGCCGGUGUGCAGCCCCCUGAGCCUGGACCCUUUUUAUCCCUGCCCAGGGUCAGGAGUGAUGCUGGACACACAGUCAUUUCCUGGUUCCUGUUUGUGCCACUUCCUUAGGGAAACUGUUUGCUUAAUCUUAAAAUAAGCUCAGCAGUGUCGUAGGUUUGCACUUUUUCUUUAGUUUGUGAUUUUCCUCACAUGUCCUCUGAAAAAUGGCAAGGCCCCUGUCCUUCUAUGUCAGUGAGGGUAACGGACACGGGGACUUUGCUUGGCCGCCGCGCUCGUCUUGGCUACCGGCAUUCAUUUCCCGAGGCUGCUGUUAAAAAAUGGCCACAAAGUUGGACCUUAAAAUGCAGACAUUGGUGCCUCACAGUUCAGGCCGACAGAAGUUCAAGAUCAAGUUCUUUGCUGGCCACACGCUCUGAAGGGACACCAGACACUGGAUCAGGACCCACCCUCAUCCAGGACGACCUCAUCUUAAGUAACCUGAUGACAUCUGCAAAGACUCUGUUUCCAAAUAAGGUCACAUUCAGAGUUUCCCGCUGGAGGAGAGGACUGAGGGGGUCCUAUUCAACCCACUCCUAUGCUUAUGCUGAUGCCAAUUGAUGCUGCCUUGACUCCGCAAAUCCCAGGGAACGUUUACAGAAGGCACAGAGAAACCAUGCAUGGAGACACCCUAGGGCAGGUGAG